CCUACGGGGAGCAGCAGUGGGGAAUAUUGGACAAUGGGCGAAAGCCUGAUCCAGCCAUGCCGCGUGUGUGAAGAAGGCCUUCGGGUUGUAAAGCACUUUCAGUGGGGAAGAAAGCCUUGGGGCUAAUACCCUCGAGGAAGGACAUCACCCACAGAAGAAGCACCGGCUAACUCCGUGCCAGCAGCCGCGGUAAUACGGAGGGUGCGAGCGUUAAUCGGAAUUACUGGGCGUAAAGCGCGCGUAGGCGGUCUGAUAAGCCGGUUGUGAAAGCCCCGGGCUCAACCUGGGAACGGCAUCCGGAACUGUCAGGCUAGAGUGCAGGAGAGGAAGGUAGAAGUCCCGGUGUAGCGGUGAAAUGCGUAGAGAUCGGGAGGAAUACCAGUGGCGAAGGCGGCCUUCUGGACUGACACUGACGCUGAGGUGCGAAAGCGUGGGUAGCAAACAGGAUUAGAUACCCGGGUAGUC
rnacentral:rRNA from 1 species